AUUUUAAAAAAUUGGAAAAAAUAAAAAAAAAUUGCGAAACGAGAAGAAAUCCCCGGGGAAGCAGAGUUGCCAGUGUGGAUACCGCGCACACAUGUCUCAUCCACAUGCAUGGGACAUGUGCAAAGUGUGCAUGCCCAGUCCGCGCACACAGUGUGGGGAUAGGUCUUGUGUGCAUCUUAUUGCGCGUAGGCAGGUCGUUCAUGCAUCACCUUUUACGCAAACAAGUGCCACACAC
rnacentral:lncRNA from 1 species